GCAGAGGAUCGAUUCCUCUCAUCUCCCCUGCCUCUACUACCUGGUCGCUUUGGCUUUGACACGGCAG
rnacentral:tRNA from 12 species